rnacentral:miRNA from 1 species
CCUGGCCCGGCAGUGUUUGGC